UUUUUAGAUGUUCUGGGCCGCACGCGCGCUACACUGAUUCAUGCAACGAGUUUUGUCCUUGGCUGAAAGGCCUGGGUAAUCUUUGAACGUGAAUCGUGCUGGGGAUAGAUGAUUGCAAUUAUUCAUCUUCAACGAGGAAUUCCUAGUAAACGCAAGUCAUCAGCUUGCAUUGAUUACGUCCCUGCCCUUUGUACACACCGCCCGUCGCACCUACCGAUUGAAUGGUCCGGUGAAAUCUUCGGAUCUGAGAGAUGUUGGAUUAAUUUCUGACGCCUUUUGGAAAAGUCGCUUAAACCUUAUCAUUUAGAGGAAGGUGAAGUCGUAACA
rnacentral:rRNA from 1 species